GAUGAAGAACGCAGCGAAAUGCGAUAAGUAAUGUGAAUUGCAGAAUUCAGUGAAUCAUCGAAUCUUUGAACGCUUCUUGCGCUCCUUGGUAUUCCGAGGAGCAUGCCUGUUUGAGUGUCAUUUAACUUCUCAACCACAUUGGAUAGUUUUUUUCCGAUGCCGGCUUGGAUGUGGGGGUUGUUUGCAGGCUUUUUGUAACAAAAAAGGUCGGCUCCCCUGAAAUGUAUUAGUGGUAUCUGAGGCUAUUACUAUUAGGUGUGAUAAUUAUCUAUGCCUUUUGGGUAUGCCGCAUGAACAGAUUAUGCUGCUUCUAACGAAAACUAUUUUGAUGAAUUUGACCUCAAAUCAGGUAGGACUACUCGCUGAACUUAAGCAUAUCAAUAAGCGGAGGA
rnacentral:misc_RNA from 1 species